rnacentral:rRNA from 1 species
GACGAACGCUGGCGGCGUGCUUAACACAUGCAAGUCGAAGGAGUGGCGAACGGGUGAGUAACCCGUUAGUAACCUGCCCCUUCUUUUGGAUAACCGCAUGAAAGUGUGGCUAAUACAGGAUAGUGGGGGAUGGGAUCGCGGGCUAUCAGCUUGUUGGUGGGGUGAUGGCCUAACAAGGGGGGGACGGGUAGCCGGCCUGAGAGGGUGGGCGGUCACACGGGGACUGAGAUACGGCCCAGACUCCUACGGGAGUCAGCAGUGGGGGAUUUUGCACAAUGGGCGCAAGCCUGAUGCAGCGACGCCGCGUGAGGGAUGAAGGCCUGCGGGUUGUAAACCUCUUUCGCUGGGUUGAUUUGAACUGGUAAAGAAGUACCGGCUAACUACGUGCCAGCAGCCGCGGUAAUAC